CCCUGCUUGGCUGGGAAUAUGAAAGCGGGUAGGGUGCUUGCACAGUCCCGGUGAGCCACCAGCAGUGGUUCCCUCGUGCGGCCUGUUCUGCGGCCCUGCUAGGGAGGACUCGAACCCGCUUCGGAAAUAUUAAGAAGACGUGAUUUCCAAAGCCCAUUAUGAAAACAUUUGUCAUUGGAAUUGGUGGCGUGACAAAUGGUGGGAAGACAACCCUGGCUAAGAACUUGCAGAAACACCUUCCCAAUUGCAGCAUAAUAUCCCAGGAUGACUUCUUCAAGCCAGAGUGUGAGAUAGACACAGAUGAAAAUGGAUUUUUGCAGUAUGAUGUGCUCGAAGCGCUUAACAUGGAAAAAAUGAUGUCAGCCGUUUCAUGUUGGAUGGAAAACCCAGGACACUCUGUGGGACGAGUAGCCUUGGAAAGUGCUCAAGGCAUUCCCAUCUUAAUUAUCGAAGGUUUCCUUCUCUUUAACUAUAGGCCACUGGACACCAUAUGGAACAGAAGUUACUUCCUAACCAUUCCCUAUGAAGAAUGUAAGAGGAGGAGGAGUACAAGGGUGUAUGAGCCUCCUGACCCCCCAGGGUAUUUUGAUGGUCACGUGUGGCCCAUGUACCUAAAGCACAAACAAGAAAUGAACGCCAUCACCUGGGAGAUCGUUUACCUAGAUGGAACAAGAUCUGAAGAGGACCUCUUUUCUCAAGUGUAUGAAGAUGUCAAGCAAGAAUUAGAGAAGCAAAAUGGUGUGUGAGUAACAGCACAAAGAUGGAAUGCAGCAAGUCCUCCUGGGAUGGAUUAAGAAACUUGAAAGACAGCAAAACCCUAUGUUGGGGGAAAAAAAAGAAAGAAAGAAAGACACGUGGAGGGAUGUGCUGAAGAACAUUAACCAGAAUGCAGUAUGUCCUGCAGGACAGUGACAUCCCUUCUGUAUCUUUGUUCAUUUUUUUAAUCACACUUUUCACAAUCUGUAGAGCAAUAUGUGUCCAUGCCAUUGGACAGGAACCUCUCAUGAAUGCAAGAAUGGCUUGCUCUCAUUCUGCAGGAGGCACAGCACAGGUCAUGCACAAAGGGAUGUGCUGCCUGAAGACUUGUGCUUGGUAUUAAACAUGCCAGAAGAUGGAAAAGACAAGACUGGGGCUGGAGAAAUGGCUUAAAGGCUAAGGCUCCCAACCAGAAGUACUUGCCACAUGAGCAUGAGGACCGGAGUUUGGAUUCCUAGUACUCACAUGAAAACCCUGUCCUUCAAUAAACAGCAUUUGGCAUUAAAUAAAUAAAUAAGUAAAAAGAAAAAGCCUGGUGCAGCAGCACUCAACUGCUUUGCUAGGGCUGGAGAGACAGAGACCUGAGAGGACUCGCGCUGGUCUGCCACUCUACCUGAACUGACAAGCCCUGGGUGUAGUGAGAGACCCUGUCUCAAAAAAUAAGGUAGAAAGCAAUAAAGGAAGAUGCCCAAUGUCAAACUCUGGCCUUUGUAUCCAAGUGCAUAUUCAUGUGCACACACACAUGUACACAAACACAUGCACAUGUAUGCCUCACACACAGAGAAAUGAAGACAAGAUCAGCAAAGGUUGAGUAAAGACUAUGCACUGAGACGCACCGUCUAUCACCAAUGGAUACAAUUCAAGCUUUACCUUUUUAGGUACCAGUUUAACAUUUAAGAGUGAGUUUGUUGGCCUGGUGGUGGUGGCUCAUGCCUUUAAUCCCAGCACUUGGGAGGCAGAGGCAGGCGGAUCUCUGUGAGUUCGAAACCAGCCUGGGCUACCAAGUGAGUUCCAGGAAAGGCACAAAGCUACACAGAGAAACCCUGUCUCGAAAAAAAAAAAAGAGUGAGUUUGUUUAUUAUUUAGAAUCGUAAGAUCUUAGAAUGUUACUGUCUGUCCCGAUUCUGGCUCAGUAUGGACUCUGAAACCAGAGCCAGUGAGCUAGACCAUUCCACGCAGCUAGCUAAUGGUAGGAGCAGGGCCGGGCCAUCACCCCAGAGUACAUCAGCAUGGACAUAGAUUUUCCAUUUUAGAGCAGAGAACCUCAGAGAAAUAGCCUACUAAAAUGUACCACCUCUCCCUCCCUGGGAAGGAACCAAGCAAGGGCCCUGGGCAGAGGGGAUGGAGCUUUCUGUUCUGGAUUUGGAGCCUAGUCAGGGAAGCUAGCCAGCUCAUGAGGUUAGCCACAGGGCAGGGCACAAUGAUGAGCUCCUGUGCUGACCUUGGAUUUUUGGCACAGGCUAAUCCUUCAAUAUGCUGUCAGUGGUCCAAAGUGAAGGAAAUAUAGAUAUGGAAAAGGCAAGGUAGGCAUUGCUCACCACUUCUGUGUACAUACAGACAUUCAUUGAAGUUUUUAAUGGUAGCUCAGAGGCUCUAGUCAGAGUAGCAUGACCUUGACAACAUCAGGGACAGCGGGUCACUGAAGUGGGCAUACCUGAUAUGUUUGUGCCCAUGGAUCCAGACGCUGAGGAAGUUGAGACUAAAGCUUAGAGCAGAGAAAUCUCUGUGAGCUUUUCUUUUUCCCUCCCCCACCUGCCUCUCUAUGUCUCUCUCUGUGUUUGUGUGUGUGUGUGUGUGUGUGUGUGUGUGUGUGUGUGUGUGUGUGUGUCUUUCUGUCACACCCACUCAUGCACAUUUCUGAAACUUUACUAGUUCCUACCCUUUAGUGUAUCUGAGAAUCAUUUGGAAGAUUUGCUAAGAAUGUAGACUACUAGUCCCCACCUCAAACUUCUGUAGCUUGUAGUAGGGUCUUAGCGAUGACAUUUUAGGUGACGGUGGCAUCAGUGACCCAGGGAGGACCUCUUCAGUUACUCCUGUAGUCAGCAGAUAGCAGCUGCACACACUGAAGUGCUCACACUGACAGAGUGUGACGACUAACAGCUGUCAAUCAUCCCCAUAGUCACCGCUGGAAAAACAGCAGGGGGUUUGCCAGCCAGGAGCCUGCAGCAAACAUGGCUUCCCCCAGAGUCCAGAUCAUAGGUCUAGGGAAGGUAGCAGCCCCUAGAGCCAGCAGCUGUGGUGGAGUACCACGGGAGAGGAUGGACUCCCUCAAAAUUCUAAAGAAUGACCCUCCCGAAAAUGUGCCAGCAUGACCUCUGUCAUUCAGUGGGUUCUGGCAGUGCCCUCAGAGCAGUCAGAGAAGGCUCCUUGGGUGUCUUCUCAGCCCCACAGGAUGGGGAAGUUCCUCUUCUGUCUUAGUUCUUGGUGCUUCUUACUAGCCCCAAUUUUUUGAUUAUUUUUGUUUAUGUAAUAAAUAUCACUUGUGUUUAUGAAAUUAUGUGUAUAUCCUAUUGUUUCACAUUGUACCUACUUUAAACAUAUGGGUCUAUUU